GACGUAGGGCGCGAGCGUUGUCCGGAUUUAUUGGGCGUAAAGAGCUCGUAGGUGGCUUGUCGCGUCUGCCGUGAAAGCCCAUGGCUUAACUGUGGGUCUGCGGUGGAUACGGGCUGGCUAGAGGACGGUAGAGGGGGGUAGAAUUGCUGGUGUAGCGGUGAAAUGCGUAGAGAUCAGCAGGAAUACCCGUGGCGAAGGCGGCCCCCUGGGCCGAACCUGACGCUGAGGCGCGAAGGCUAGGGGAGCGAACGGG
rnacentral:rRNA from 1 species